GCCUGGUUAGCUCAUUUGGGAGAGCAUUAGCCCUGUUAGCAAGUUGUCCCAGGUUCGAGUCCUGGACUGGCCA
rnacentral:tRNA from 1 species